CCACUUCCAGUACACACGUUUAAUCCGUGCCAGCUCUUCAGUUCCGUGUAUAGCCUCGUACGACCUGCCACACGGACCAUCUGUUAAAAUUUCUUUGUUGGGCUGAUCACGCAUCCUUCACGUGCCUGCAUUGAGCCUAAGCUACAAAGAGAGCUAUCCGUGAACAGUAUUGCUGUUUGUGCGAAAAUUCACUGUCAUGGAGCUGCUCUCUUUAUAGAACGGUUCGGAAUCAACGGAAACUAUUUAUCUGACUACGAAAGUUUCGACAUUCUUUUUUAAUUUCAUUUAUAUCCGAUUAUUGUAAGAGUUUUGUAGACCUGCCCUUGUGUUGCUCCAUCAUCCUCAUACAAUUCUAUCUCGCAAUCUCCUUGGUACCACCACCCCCAAAGUUACCCACGUUUAUCUUCGUCCACAAAUACACGCCAUAAAAAUUGGCUUUUAAAAAG